AUGCAGCUCUCCAGCUGGCGCUCCUCCUCCCCGCCUGCAGGGGGCGCCCCCUCCAGCAGCCAGCGCUCCCGCAGCGUGGCGGACUGGACCGCAACACAACACGUCAGUCUACACAACACGUCACUCUACACAACACAUCAGUCUACACAACAAGUCAGUCUACACAACACGUCACUCUACACAACACGUCACUCUACACAACACGUCAGUCUACACAACACGUCAGUCUACACAACACGUCACUCUACACAACACGUCAGUCUACACAACACGUCAGUCUACACAACACGUCACUCUACACAACACGUCAGUCUACACAACACGUCAGUCUACACAACACGUCACUCUACACAACACGUCAGUCUACACAACACGUCAGUCUACACAACACGUCAGUCUACACAACACCACAGUCUACACAACACGUCACUCUACACAACACGUCAGUCUACACAACACGUCACUCUACACAACACGUCAGUCUACACAACACGUCAGUCUACACAACACGUCACUCUACACAACACGUCAAUCUACACAACACGUCACUCUACACAACACGUCAGUCUACACAACACGUCAGUCUACACAACACGUCACUCUACACAACACGUCAGUCUACACAACACGUCAGUCUCCACAACACGUCAGUCUACACAACACGUCAGUCUACACAACACCACAGUCUACACAACACGUCACUCUACACAACACGUCAGUCUACACAACACCACAGUCUACACAACACGUCACUCUACACAACACGUCACUCUACACAACACGUCAGUCUACCCAACACCACAGUCUACACAACACGUCACUCUACACAACACGUCACUCUACACAACACGUCACUCUACACAACACGUCAGUCUACACAACACGUCACUCUACACAACACGUCAGUCUACACAACACGUCACUCUACACAACACGUCAGUCUACACAACACCACAGUCUACACAACACGUCACUCUACACAACACGUCACUCUACACAACACGUCAGUCUACCCAACACCACAGUCUACACAACACGUCACUAUACACAACACGUCAGUCUACACAACACGUCACUCUACACAACACGUCAGUCUACCCAACACCACAGUCUACACAACACGUCACUAUACACAACACCACAGUCUACACAACACGUCACUCUACACAACACCACAGUCUACACAACACGUCACUCUACACAACACGUCAGUCUACACAACACCACAGUCUACACAACACGUCACUCUACACAACACGUCAGUCUACACAACACCACAGUCUACACAACACGUCACUCUACACAACACGUCACUCUACACAACACGUCAGUCUACCCAACACCACAGUCUACACAACACGUCACUCUGCACAACACGUCACUCUACACAACACGUCAGUCUACACAACACGUCACUCUACACAACACGUCAGUCUACACAACACGUCACUCUACACAACACGUCAGUCUACACAACACCACAGUCUACACAACACGUCACUCUACACAACACGUCACUCUACACAACACGUCAGUCUACCCAACACCACAGUCUACACAAAACGUCACUAUACACAACACGUCAGUCUACACAACACGUCACUCUACACAACACGUCAGUCUACCCAACACCACAGUCUACACAACACGUCAGUCUACACAACACCACAGUCUACACAACACGUCACUCUACACAACACCACAGUCUACACAACACGUCACUCUACACAACACGUCACUAUACACAACACCACAGUCUACACAACACGUCAGUCUACACAACACCACAGUCUACACAACACGUCACUCUACACAACACCACAACACCUUAACGAGGGGAGAGGGGGGAGGGAGGAAGGGGGCGGUACCUUGAUGUGCUGGAGGUGUCUCCGGUACUGCUCCAGCUGCCUCCUCUUCUCCUCUGUCUCUGUCUGUCUCCUCCUCUCCUGCAGAACAGCACAGCAGCCUCAGCCUCCAGCACCACCUAGCAUCACCUAG
ensembl:lncRNA